UACGAAGGGUGCAAGCGUUACUCGGAAUUACUGGGCGUAAAGCGUGCGUAGGUGGUUUGUUAAGUCUGUUGUGAAAGCCCCGGGCUCAACCUGGGAAUGGCAAUGGAUACUGGCAAGCUAGAGUGCGGUAGAGGGUAGUGGAAUUCCCGGUGUAGCGGUGAAAUGCGUAGAGAUCGGGAGGAACACCAGUGGCGAAGGCGGCUACCUGGACCAGCACUGACACUGAGGCACGAAGCGUGGGAGCAAACAGG
rnacentral:rRNA from 1 species